UACGAAGGGUGCAAGCGUUAAUCGGAAUUACUGGGCGUAAAGCGUGCGCAGGCGGUUUUGUAAGCCGGAUGUGAAAUCCCCGGGCUUAACCUGGGAAUGGCAUUCGGGGACUGCAAGGCUGGAGUGCGGCAGAGGAGACUGGAAUUCCUGGUGUAGCAGUGAAAUGCGUAGAGAUGUGGAGGAAUACCGAUGGCGGAAGGCAGCCCCC
rnacentral:rRNA from 1 species